UCCUCUGUGUUCCUCCACA
rnacentral:misc_RNA from 1 species